UCCUGGUGGCUCAGAGGUUAAAGCAUCUGCCUGCAAUGCGGGAGACCUGGGUUCGAUCCCUGGGUCAGGAA
rfam:TPA: Bos taurus chromosome 2, whole genome shotgun sequence.